rnacentral:rRNA from 1 species
CAAGUUCUGAUCKGAAAGCCCRUMCGGACUUCAAKCCCGWGGAARGGRGUCAUUGWAACUGGGAGACUUGAAGUGCAGAAGAAGGAAAGUGGAAUUCKCAUGUGUAWGCGGUGAAAUGSGUAGGAGAUAUGGAGGAACAKCCAGUGGCGRAAGGGMGAYUUUCUGGUCUGUAACUGACACUGAGGGCGUGAAAGCGUGGGGAGCAAACAGGAUUAGAUACCYUGGUAGUCCACGCCGUAAACGAUGAGUGMUAAGUGUUAGAGGGUUUCCGCCCUUUAGUGCUGAAGUUAACGCAUUAAGCACUCCGCCUGGGGAGURCGGCCGCAAGGCUGAAAMUCAAAGGAAUUGACGGGGGCCCGCACAAGCGGUGGAGCAUGUGGUUUAAUUCGAAGCAACGCGAAGAACCUUACCAGGUCUUGACAUCCUCUGACAACCCUAGAGAUAGGGYUUYUCCUUCGGGAGCAGAGUGACAGGUGGUGCAUGGUUGUCGUCAGCUCGUGUYGUGAGAUGUUGGGUUAAGUCCCGCAACGAGCGCAACCCUUGAUYUUAGUWGCCAUCAUUAAGUUGGGCACUCUAAGGUGACUGCCGGUGACAAACCGGAGGAAGGUGGGGAUGACGUCAAAUCAUCAUGCCCCUUAUGACCUGGGCUACACACGUGCUACAAUGGACGGUACAAAGAGCUGCAAGWCCGCGAGGUGGAGCUAAUCUCAUAAAACCGUUYUCAGUUCGGAUWGUAGGYUGCAACUCGCSUACAUGAARCUGGAAUCGSUAGUAAUCGCGGAUCAGCAWGCCGCGGUGAAUACGUUCCCUGGKCCUUGUACMACUUUUUUUUUACCAAAAGUGCGA